CGAUGCUUUUAGAGUCAGACCAUAUCAGAAGUUGGAAGAGUACACAGGUGGCACAAGAUGGCUAGAAGGGUCUAUACUUGGCUAUUUCCCUGCUUUCCUGUGGGAAAUUAGACUGGCUGGACUUGCUUAUUUUUUUUUCAGCAGGUCAGCUGUAUCUUGUAACACCCAACAGGUUGGAUCCGCAGUUUGCUUAUUACUUCUUGGUUUACCUUUCGAAUUUACCAGAGCACAACUUGAAGCAACCUCCUUAAGAAAAGAAUGUAAAAGAGAUAAGGAAAGUGGGGCAUGACAACGAUGUUAAAAAUCCUGAAUGUGAAGCAGGCAGCAAGUGUUGAGAACCAGUGUUGAACCAAGUUGUGUGGCGACAGACAUGUCUUACAGAACAUUGAGACAACCACCCAUGGACAAGGGAGACUUUCUGGAAACCCAGAGAUCCAUUGGGGAAGUUUCAGCACUUUGUUAGAACAAAACAAACCAACAACAAAACAAAACAACAACAACAACAACAAAA